CAGGUGCUGCAUGGCUGUCGUCAGCUCGUGUCGUGAGAUGUUCGGUUAAGUCCGCUAACGAGCGCAACCCUCGCUGUGUGUUACAAGUGUCACACGGAACUGCCGGUCAUAAACCGGAGGAAGGUGGGGAUGACGUCAAGUCAGCAUGGCCUUUAUAUCCUGGGCUACACACACGCUACAAUGGGAAGGGACAAUAGGUUGCGAAGCCGCGAGGUGGAGCCAAUCCAGCAAAACUUCCCUCAGUUCAGAUUGCAGGCUGCAACUCGCCUGCAUGAAGUUGGAGUUGCUAGUAAACGCAGGUCAGCCAUACUGCGUUGAAUACGUUCCCGGGGCUU
rnacentral:rRNA from 1 species